rnacentral:rRNA from 1 species
AUUGAACGCUGGCGGCAUGCUUUACACAUGCAAGUCGAACGGUAACAGGCCGCAAGGUGCUGACGAGUGGCGAACGGGUGAGUAAUGCAUCGGAACGUGCCCAGUCGUGGGGGAUAACUACUCGAAAGAGUAGCUAAUACCGCAUACGAUCUAUGGAUGAAAGCGGGGGACCGUAAGGCCUCGCGCGAUUGGAGCGGCCGAUGUCAGAUUAGGUAGUUGGUGGGGUAAAGGCUCACCAAGCCAACGAUCUGUAGCUGGUCUGAGAGGACAACCAGCCACACGGGGACUGAGACACGGCCCAGACUCCUGCGGGAGGCAGCAGUGGGGAAUUUUGGACAAAGGGCGCAAGCCUGAUCCAGCAAUGCCGCGUGCAGGAAGAAGGCCUUCGGGUUGUAAAGUGCUUUUGUACGGAACGAAACGGCUCUGGUUAAUACCCGGGGCUAAUGACGGUACCGUAAGAAUAAGCACCGGCUAACUACGUG